rnacentral:lncRNA from 1 species
AGGAGGGGAAAUAAUUAUGGAUAUGACACCUCCAAUCAGCGGAAGAAUAAUUAUUCAUAACCAAUCAAAGACCGAUGGACCUUCAAACCUCAUAAAAGGCAUAUGGAAAACUACAAACCGUUAAAUACCAGGAGAGAGCAAAUAUGGAUAAAAAAAAUGUUGCUUAACAAGGAUAUUCUUGAACGUACAACCCCCUAAAUGGAAGGUAAUGGGAAACAAAUCCAUCAGGUGAUACAAAUACCAAAAGAUUAAGGGUCACCAUAAAAAUGACUGGCAUCAACAUAA